rnacentral:rRNA from 1 species
CCUACGGGUGGCAGCAGUGAGGAAUAUUGGUCAAUGGACGAGAGUCUGAACCAGCCAAGUAGCGUGAAGGAUGACUGCCCUAUGGGUUGUAAACUUCUUUUAUAAAGGAAUAAAACGAGGCACGUGUGCCUUUUUGCAUGUACUUUAUGAAUAAGGAUCGGCUAACUCCGUGCCAGCAGCCGCGGUAAUACGGAGGAUCCGAGCGUUAUCCGGAUUUAUUGGGUUUAAAGGGAGCGUAGAUGGGUUGUUAAGUCAGUUGUGAAAGUUUGCGGCUCAACCGUAAAAUUGCAAUUGAUACUGUUGAUCUAGAGAGUAGAUGCGGUAGGCGGAAUGUAUGGUGUAGCGGUGAAAUGCUUAGAUAUCACGAAGAACCCCGAUUGCGAAGGCAGCUUACUAAACUGUGACUGACAUUGAUGCUCGAAAGUGUGGGUAUCAAACAGGAUUAGAUACCCGUGUAGUC